rnacentral:rRNA from 1 species
GACGAACGCUGGCGGCGUGCCUAAUACAUGCAAGUUGAGCGAUGAAGAUUGGUGCUUGCACCAAUUUGAAGAGCAGCGCACGGGUGAGUAACGCGUGGGGAAUCUGCCUUUGAGCGGGGGACAACAUUUGGAAACGAAUGCUAAUACCGCAUAACAACUUUAAACAUAAGUUUUAAGUUUGAAAGAUGCAAUUGCAUCACUCAAAGAUGAUCCCGCGUUGUAUUAGCUAGUUGGUGAGGUAAAGGCUCACCAAGGCGAUGAUACAUAGCCGACCUGAGAGGGUGAUCGGCCACAUUGGGACUGAGACACGGCCCAAACUCCUACGGGAGGCAGCAGUAGGGAAUCUUCGGCAAUGGACGAAAGUCUGACCGAGCAACGCCGCGUGAGUGAAGAAGGUUUUCGGAUCGUAAAACUCGGUUGGUAGAGAAGAACGUUGGUGAGAGUGGAAAGCUCAUCAAGUGACGGUAACUACCCAGAAAGGGACGGCUAACUACGUG